rnacentral:rRNA from 1 species
GAUGAACGCUGGCGGCGUGCUUAACACAUGCAAGUCGAACGAAGCACCUUAUUCUGAUUUCUUCGGAAUGAAAAAUUUGGUGACUGAGUGGCGGACGGGUGAGUAACGCGUGGGUAACCUGCCUCAUACAGGGGGAUAACAGUUAGAAAUGACUGCUAAUACCGCAUAAGACCACAGCACCGCAUGGUGCAGGGGUAAAAACUCCGGUGGUAGGAGAUGGACCCGCGUCUGCUUAGGUAGUUGGUGGGGUAACGGCCUACCAAGCCGACGAUCAGUGGCCGGACUGAGAGGGUGACCGGCCACAUUGGGACUGAGAUACGGCCCAAACUCUUACGGGAGGCAGCAGUGGGGAAUAUUGCACAAUGGGGGAAACCCUGAUGCGGCGACGCCGCGUGAGCGAUGAAGUAUUUCGGUAUGUAAAGCUCUAUCAGCAGGGAAGAAAAUGACGGUACCUGACUAAGAAGCACCGGCUAACUACGUGCCAGCAGCCGCCGUAA